AUUUUACCAUUUUUAUUAAAGUGUUAUAAAAGAGUAAAUGCAUUCAUGUAGAGGCAAGAAUAUAAGUUAAACUAGUUACAUGAGAUGACAGCCUGAAUAACAGUCUCUCAAAGAUGUUCACGUCCUAGUCCAGGAAACUGUGACUGUGUUAUCUUACCUGGCGUAAGGAAUUUAGCAGAUGUUAUUAAGUUGAGGAUCUUGAGAUUAUCUCAUAUUAUUUGAGUGGAUCUGAUUUAAUCACAAGGGUCCUUUUAAGAGGGCAGCAGGAAGUCAGAGAGGAGAAAAGAUGCUUAGCUGCUGGUUUUGAAGAUUAGAGGAAGGAACCAAAGAAUGCAGGCAGCCUCUGAAAGCUGGAAGAGGCGCGGAAGCAGAUUCUUCCCGAAGUGUCCAGAAGACAUGCAGAGCAGCCAACACCUUGAGGUUAGACUUCUGAUUUUAGACUUACGCUUCUGACCUCCAGACCUGGAAACCUGCCAGGCGUCCAAAAGUACUUCAAAGAAUGCACCAUCCCUGUGGCGGCUUUUCUGCGAGCAACCUCUCUUCUGCCUCUGAUAGGACAGCUGACUUUCAGCCACGAGUGAGAAAUACCAGUUCUGUAGUCACACUUGCCACCUUCUGAGGCUCAGUAGUCUCCUGGAUAGUAGCCACUGCAUUGAAUGUUACAGAUAAAGAAUAUUUCAAUCGCUGCAGAAAGUUCUGUUUGUUGCACGGUGCUGGUGAGAGUUGCAGGAGUGGGAAGGAAAGAGGAGACAGGGAAGCCUCUCUGAGAUGAAGACGUCUGGCUGAGACUUGCAGGGUGGGAAGGAGGCAGUUCUGUGGAGCAGGAAGAUGUGUUUCAGGCAGAGGGGACAAAAGGUGCAGACACACUGAAACAGGAGCACACCUGGAGUUUGAGAGAAAAAGAAAGAACAGGAUGGCUGGAGGAGGGUGAACAAGAGGGAGGGUGUUAAAGGAGGAAGUUGAUCAGGUGGUCAAAGUAACACUUUGUACUCCUGCCAGAUCACUAAAAGGACUGCAACUUCAGUCGGGUGCUCCUUAACACCCUCUCCUGGAAGGCAGCCACUGUGCCGCAAGGAAGCCCUCUAAGGCAGCCCAUGGCAAGAUCUCUACGGAGAUCCCUACAACUGUGCCGGAGCUCCCAGGUGGAAAGCAGGUGGCUUGAAAGAGGCUCCUUCAGCCUCCAGCGGAGAACCCCAGCUGACCCUGCGUGGAGCAGAGACUCACCAUUCCCAUCAAGCCCUGCCCAAAUUACAAAAUCAUGAGCAAAACAAAUGAUGGUGGUUGUUUUAAGAUAAACGAUACAGAGAGACCCAGCUACAAAGUGGUGGAGGGGAAGCGAGUCCUGUAGCUUUCAGCUGCGUUGCAUCAAAUAAUCCAGCUUUGCCACAUCACAGCUGGGAAACGUCAGGCAAAUCUCCCCGCAGGUGAGAGCACCUAGCACAACUGCAGACACUUAGAAUAAGCAAAUACUACUGCUUGAGUGUUAAAACUCCUCAAACCCCACUUGGAAGUAUAAACACAUCUUCCUUUAUCAACGUUAAGAGUUAAACUUGUCCCACCGGAUCUAAUUUGGAGGUUUCUUCUUUAGUAGGUCUCACACUUUACAGAAGCCAGCUGAUGAGUCUGUUAAACUGAAAACCCAGAAUCUUUCUCAGUUCUCCCAUUUCCCACUUCUGGGGUCAAACCCUGGAGUUUGUAUUUUAAAAUAUUUUUCAACUUUACUGACAUACAAUUGAAGUACACUAAAUGGCAUAUAUUGAAAGUGCACAAUGUGAUCAGUUUUGACACAUGUAUACCUCCAUGAAUCCAUCUUCACAAUCAAGAUUAUAAAUAUUUCCUUGACUAGCCGGGUGCAGUGGCUCAUGCCUGUAAUCCCAGCAUUUUGGGAGGCUGAGGCGGGCAGAUCACCUGAGGUCAGGAGUUCGAGACCAGCCUGUCCAGCAUGGUAAACCCCGUCUCUACUAAAAAUACAAAAAUUAGCCGGGCAUGGUGGCAGGUGCCUGUAAUCCCAGCUACUCUGGAGGCUGAGGCAGGAGAAGCGCUUGAACCCGGGAGGCAGAGGCUGCAGUGAGCCAAGAUCAUGCCAUUGCACCCCAGCCUGGGAGACAAGAGCAAGACUUCAUCUUAAAAAAAAAAUUUCCUUGACCACCAAAGAUGGCUUUUGUACCCUUUGUAAUCCAGCCUUCCUUCCAUCACUUUACCCGACAACCACUGAUAUGCUUUGUCACUCUAUUCGUGCAUACUUUAAAAAAAACAAAAACACUGCACUCCAGCCUGGUGACAGAGCGAGACUCUGUCUCAGAAAAAAAACAAAAAGAAAAAAACAAAAAACAAAAACUUUAUAUAUUGAAUCAUAUCUCAUGAACUCUUUUUGUUGUCUGGCUUGUGUCACUCAACACCAUGAUUUUGAGAUUCGUCCACAUAGUUCAUGUAUCAACAUUUCAUUCCUCUUUAUUGCUGAUUAAUACUCCAGCGUAUGAACGCCACAGUGUCCAAUCAUCUGCUGAUGGACAUUUGGGUUGUUUCCAAUUUUGGCUAGGACAAAUAAAGCUGCUGUGAACAGCCAUGGGUAGUUGGGUACACUUGGGAGUUGAAUGACUGAGCUGCAUGGCAGAUGAUGUUUAACUUUUUUUAUAAACUGCAAAACCAUUUUUGCCAAGUGGUUUUACCUUCUUAUGUCCCUUACAGCAGUGCAUGAGAGUUCUGGCUAUCCCACAUCUUUGCCAACACUUGGUACAGUUUUAAAAAUUUUAGCCAGUGGUGUGCUGGACCCAGCUUGCACCAGCUUGUGGGAGCCAACUCUGCAUCUUUUCCCAAUUCUGGGUUCAGCGACUUCUUGUUGGUACCUUGAAAUCAACCAUGGUGGAAAUAUUUACUCCAUAGA
rnacentral:lncRNA from 1 species